AGAAAUAUUAUGACUCAUCGAUAAUUAGUAAAACUAUAUGUUUUACGUACUAACUAUUGUAAACAGGAAGUUGGUAAGAUAAAUGGAUAAUUUAGUUUAUAUCGUUGUAAAUAAAAAACGAUUUUGGGUGGAGCUCAGUGACCUUGACUAUAAGAUUAAAGUUGUUUUUUCUCCGUGUAAUCAAGAAAUCUCAAAAAUCAACAAUUAAAAAAAAAUUAAUUAUGAAAAAUUUAGCUUCGAGAUGUUUUGCAAUCUGGUCGGAUGCAUCUGUCUAUACGUUCGGAAUGUUUUAUUUUUGCAUGCCAUAUCGUCAUUGACUAUUUUUUCAUACCGUGCCAUUUGUUGUCGGUUUUUCCUUAUAUAUUAUUAAAAAAAUAAUAAUAAUAAUAAUAAAAGACAAAAGUAGGUAUUAUAAAUUUAAAUUGGAUGAAAAAUAUAUUUUAUCAGAAACCUCUGUCGAUAUUAUUACUAUUUUUUUUUUUUUUUUUUUAUUGGAGCAAGUAGUAUCUUCUGAUCGAAAUUACUUUAACAGACGGCUAACACCCACACAAUCACAUCAUAUUAUAUACAUAUAUAAUAGUAAAAUCAAUACAUUCCUUCGAGCUCCGUUUAGAAUCUAAAAACGUCGGACACAAAUUGUUAUUAUCUAAUACCCGACAAAGUCUUACGGUAAGUCGGUAACCUUAUUUGAAAACAAUAUCUCAUAUAUUAGA